rnacentral:lncRNA from 1 species
GUGGUCCUUGCCCUCCAGACAAGGGAGCAAAGGCUCAGAGGUUUACGCUACCGGUUCCAGACCACACUGCUGUGAGUGGCAAGGUGGGGCUUCGAAUCCAGCCCUAUCGGCUGCCAAAGCCGCAUUGCUCAUCCACCAAGCCACACUUCCUCUCAGCCCUGCCUGUUCAUUAAGGCUCUUCUCGGAAGCUCCAGAUGCUUCUCCCCUACAGACCUGGCCCAGAUAGGCAGGCCUUUGCCAGCCUGGCCAUGCCUGGCUUGGGCGAAUGUCGACUCGUGUCGUCCUGUGAGCACGCCAUCCCAGGGCACUAUGGUGGAUGCCUCUGUAGCACAAAGAGACUGGGCCAGGGUCCUUGAGGGCUCGGGCUGGAGCGGGGGCCCUCACAUUCCUGCUGCCUGCCAGCACUGUCUCCAAAUGCCUGUCAGGUUGUAAAGGCGAAGAGUUGUGCAUAACAGCUGCAGAAAUCAAGCUGGCUCAGAAGAGCUCAGCCUGCAGAGAGAAGAAAAUGAUUUCAGCAAGAAACAAGCUGCAAAUAACUCAUAAUGACCAGAGUGGGGCCCUGCCGGCUUUGCUCUGGGUUUGGUGAAAUGUCUUAAGAUAUUUUUCCAAAGCCCUGGAUUUGGCCAAAUUGGAAACGUCCUUCGGCAAAUGCUUUCUUUGCCUUAAUUCUUAAAGUCAAGACUAUUUGGAAGGCGAUCUCCUUUGCUGUUUCAGAUUCGUUUACUCUUGACACAUCACAAGGGGCCUGCUGGGCGAGAGCUGUUUAUAGGAGCAGAUUUUAGGAAUCAGAGGCUAAAGCAAGAAAG